AUGAAGAACGUAGCGAAAUGCGAUAAGUAAUGUGAAUUGCAGAAUUCAGUGAAUCAUCGAAUCUUUGAACGCACCUUGCACCCUUUGGCAUUCCGAAGGGUAUGCUCGUUUGAGUGUCAUUGUACUCUCACACUCUCCGAUCCUAUGGAUUCGGGGAGCGGUGGACUUGGGUGUUGCUGCCUUUCCUUGUGGCUCACCUCAAAUGUGUCAGUGCACCUCUUGGUUGGACAUAGUACGGCGUGAUAAGUGUCUUCGCCGGCACCUCGCAAGAGGGUGGCCGAUCGGGAGCUCUGUGCUUUCAAACCGUCUUCGGACAAUUUCUGACAACUUGACCUCAAAUCGAGUAGGACUACCCGCUGAACUUAAGCAUAUCAAUAAGCGGAGGA
rnacentral:misc_RNA from 1 species